GCCCCCCUAAGUCCAAUUGAAGUCUGCCUCCGUUCGCCAUCCCUCGUUGAGCCCUCAUCUCCGUCUGAUCCCUUUACAUGUGUACGGCCUUAACCAUUUUAUCCCCAGGGAGUUGGAUUUCUAUCUAUAGACCUAUUCCCCAUGAAGCUCCACUCACAUGGCGGCACAUCCUUGGUCCUAGUUGCACGACCUUAAACUGCACAGCCUUGGUUCGUGCUGCACGAUCCUAAACUGCACAGCCUCGGUCCGUGCUGCACGACCCUAAACUGCGUAGCCCAGGUCUAGUUACAUGACCUUAAACUACAUCGCCUCGGUCCGUCUUGUACGACCCUAGACUGCACAGCUCAGGUCUAGCUGCACGACCUUAAACUGUACAGUCUCGGUCCGUACUGCACGACCCUAAAACUGCACAUCCUCGGUCCAUGAUGCACGACCCUAAACUGUACAGCCUCGAUCCAUGCUGAACGACCCUAAACUGCAUAGUCCUGGUCUAGUUGCACGACCCUAAAACUACAUGGUCCAAACCAUACGACCUUAAAUUGUAGCGGAGAUUUAGUUGCACGACCCAAAAACUACAUGGUCCAAAUUAUAUGACCUUAAAAUGUAGCCCAGGUCAAGCUGCACGACCUUAAACUGUAUAGCCUCGGUUCUAUUUGUAUGACUUUGAACUGCAUAACCACGGUCCAAACUAUAUGACUUUAAACUGUAGCGGAGGUCUAGUUGCAUGACCUUAAACUGCACGGACCUAGUUGUAAGACUUUAAACUGCAUAUAGACGGUCUAGCUGUAUGACCUUAAACCAUAGUGCACAUCCUGACCACAUGACAAUAAACUGCUUUACAUAGGUCCCGGAGGUAUGACCAUAAACUCGCCCCCACAUACACGCACACACCUUUACGUGCACUCUCACGCACGCUUUCCUUAACCUACCUGCUAGUGUGUAUGCGCCACCUUCAUUACCUCCCCAAUAUGUCCAUUCACUUUAUUACCAUUCAUCAUUCCCCAGUGAGUCUCACCUGUGCUCACAAAACAACGAAUCAUCCCGCCAUCCAAACUCGUUGUAAGUUAUUGGGUCACCGUCGUCCGCCCACAUUUCAUACAUCAUCCAUCUUUCAUAGGUAGCCUAAUGUCAUCUCCCCAAGGGAGUCAAACCACCACCAUACUCACUCCAUGGCCUCCACAGAUUGCCAUUCAUCACCACUACGGUCCAGCUGUAUGACCUUAAACCAUUGUGCACGUCCUGACCGCAUGACGUUAAAUUGUUUUGCACAAGUCUGGAAGGCAUGACCUUAAACACACCUUCAUAAAAAAUGAUGAAAUAACAGGCAUGGUGUAUACCUUAACAAAGGAAUGCUAUGAGUAAAAAUGGUGGACGGGCAUGGUCACGAAACCAUGAGCAAAAGAAUUUCGUGAAUAAAACAAAAUCGAGCAUGGUGAAAACCUGAAGAGGGCGUCAUGAGUAAAAAUGGAUGAAAAGGGUGGACAUGGCCGAAAAGUCAUGGGUAAAAGAGCCCCAAAAUAAAAAGAAGUUGGUGAAAAUUGUCUCUACGGCACCGCUUCCCAAGUUCAAGUGAAAAUCCGCAAAGGACGCUUGAAUCAAUAAACAGGUUGAUGCAGCACUCGUCUCAAUAAGCAACUGCAACCCUCACUCAAAACAAGAAAAUCCUUGGUGUCACCAUGCCAGGAAUCCAAAAAUACGAGCUUCAAGGAAACAAUUUUGACAGCCUGAGUCUAGUUGUAAAAGGACUCGAAAGAUAGACGACUCGCCAAGACGACAAGACAAGUCUCAUGAGGAAGAACAUUAUUCCCACGAGGUCACAAACACUACAAAGGAAAGAAACUGACAAAGUUAGAGCAAAACCUGCC
rnacentral:lncRNA from 1 species